AUGAAAGUGAAAACAUGGAGUAUGAUUUCAAGACUUGCUGCUAUCAAAUACAGAUCGCCCCAUGAUCAAUUUGAUAGAUUAUUAACGUUUAUUAAUACCUAAAGUUGGUUUAGAUAAGUAGUUUGAAGUGUUUUGUAAAAGUUUAUAGGCAACUUUUGUAAUUUUAAAAAGUGACGUUGCGUCUUGUAAAGGGGCAUUUUUCUGGAUCAGACCGGUCUUCAGCAAAUCACAUUUUGGGUAUACAAUGACGGAUUUAAUCGGGAAAAAGACCCAAUUGUGAUGUUUAUGUGACAUAUAGGAGUGCCAAGAAAGAAGCUCGUCAAAGGUUGGUGUGCAGUGGCUCCACCCAUGUUAGCCUUCCUCUAUUGCUUUGCCCAUAUCGGACUGGAGUGGGAACACAACCCACCCUAAAUCACAAACCCUCUAGUCUCUGCUGGAGUGGGAACACAACCCACCCUAAAUCACCAACUCCACAGUCUCUGCUGGAGUGGGAACACAACCAACCCUAAAUCACCAACUCCACAGACUCUGCUGGAGUGGGAACACAACCCACCCCAAAUCACCAACUCCACAGACUCUGCUGGAGUGGGAACACAACCCACCCUAAAUCACCAACUCCACAGACUCUGCUGGAGUGGGGACACAACCCACCCUAAAUCACCAACUCCACAGUCUCUGCUGGAGUGGGAACACAACCCACCCUAAAUCACCAACUGCUGGAGUGGGAACACAACCCACCCUAAAUCACCAACUCCACAGUCUCUGCUGGAGUGGGAACACAACUCACCCUAAAUCACAAACCCUCUAGUCUCUGCUGGAGUGGGAACACAACCCACCCUAAAUCACAAACCCUCUAGUCUCUGCUGGAGUGGGAACACAACCCACCCUAAAUCACCAACUCCACAGACUCUGCUGGAGUGGGAACACAACUCACCCUAAACCACCCACCCACAGUGGACUCUGCUAUGUAGGGAAACCAACCCGUUCUUAACCACCAGGGAUGUUCUUAGUUCCAAGAUAGCUAAACCCUUGUCUUAAACUCAGGGCAGUGAGAGAAAAAGCUCAUGAAAGCAAUUGAAUAUGUUUAAUUCACUCACAAACUCAAUCUGAAAGUUUCAGUAUUGAUUAUUUUAAACCCAAAAACAUAUUUUUGAACAGUAAUCUCAGUAAGAAAUACGCUUACAUGAUUGCCAUUGCUAGCUCGAUAGUUAGCUAAAACGGUUGCCUAGCAACAAACAUCUUCGGAAGACUUGUAAGAUAUUUGAGAAGUUCCUAAGAAAAUCAUUAAAUCUUAAGAUAUUGU
ensembl:lncRNA